UGGGGAAUAUUGCACAAUGGGGGAAACCCUGAUGCAGCGACGCCGCGUGAGCGAAGAAGGCUUUCGAGUCGUAAAACUCUGUCCUAUGAGAAGAUAAUGACGGUAUCAUAGGAGGAAGCCCUGGCUAAAUACGUGCCAGCAGCCGCGGUAAUACGUAUGGGGCGAGCGUUGUCCGGAAUUAUUGGGCGUAAAGGGUACGUAGGCGGUUUUUUAAGUCAGGUGUCAAAGCGUGGAGCUUAACUCCAUUAAGCACUUGAAACUGAAAGACUUGAGUGAAGGAGAGGAAAGUGGAAUUCCUAGUGUAGCGGUGAAAUGCGUAGAUAUUAGGAGGAAUACCGGUGGCGAAGGCGACUUUCUGGACUUUUACUGACGCUCAGGUACGAAAGCGUGGGGAGCAAACAGG
rnacentral:rRNA from 1 species